rnacentral:rRNA from 1 species
ACACCAAGAAAUUGAGUCAUUUAGAUGAAUGGUUAAAAGGCAGUUAGGUUAAUAUUCAGCUAAUGGGGUUGAUUUAAUGUUGUAUAUAGAAGUAAAAUUUAAAUAUAUUUGCAUAAUUUGUUAACAGCUUUUGGAAGAUUGAAUCUGCGAAAUUUUUGAGGGAAACUGGGAUUAGGUACCCCAUUAUUCUUUAAGGUAAAUUGUGUUAUAUAACUACCAGAGUACUAUGAAUUAUUAAAUUUAAAACUCAAAGGACUUGGCGGUGUCUUAGACCACUUAGGGGAACCUGUCUCGUAAUCGACAGUCCACGUUGAACCUGACCUUUUUUUGUUUUCAGUUUGUAUACCGUUGUCGUCAGGUAACUUUUUAGAAAAAUAAAGUUAGCAAUAUAAAUUGAUUAUUUAGUACGUCAAAUCAAGGUGCAGCUAAUAGAAAGGGGAGGAUGGGUUACAAUUAUUUAUUUAUAAUUACGGAAGUAAAGCUAUAGAAAUAUAUUACAUAAGGAGGACUUAAAAGUAAAUUAAAAUAGAUAUAUAAUUUGAAUAAGGCUCUGAGACGUGU